GGAGAGGUGGCUGAGUGGUCGAAAGCACCGCACUCGAAAUGCGGCAGACUGGAAACGGUCUCGAGAGUUCGAAUCUCUCCCUCUCCGCCA
rnacentral:tRNA from 1 species